GUGAAUGAAAAUCAAUGUCUGUCUAAUAAGAUAUGUACUAGACUUUCAUUUCCUUCUUUUCGAAUACACUCCAUCUAUAUUUAUAAUAUAUUUGGAUAAAGUGUUUCGAAUCUUUUACUGUGAAGAAAUUAGAGUGUUCAAAGCAGGCGUAACCUAGCCUUUGAAUAUAUUAGCAUGGGAUAAUGAAAUAGGACUUUAGAACUACUUUCGUUGGUUUCUAGGGCUAAAGUA
rnacentral:rRNA from 1 species